rnacentral:tRNA from 1 species
GCCCCAGUAGCUCAGUGGAUAGAGCACCGGUUUCCUAAACCGGGGGUCGCUGGUCCGAAUCCAGCCUGGGGUA